AUUUAGCCCCCAGCGACUAUUGGCUGUUUCCAAACUUCAGGGAAAGAGAUUUCGAUCAAAUGAAGAAGUUGAAUGGGAAACAGACGCAUAUUUUGAAGGACUUUCUAUCGAUCAUUUUUCGAAAGGCAUCAAAAUGUUAAAAGACCGUUGGGAAAAGUGUAUCGCCCUAGAAGGGACCUAUGUUGAAGAAUAAAAUGAAUUUUGGUUGCAAAAAUUGUUUUCACCUUUUCACCUUAUGAAAUUUUGGACCAUGCAGUAGGGCGCACUUUAAGUUAAAAAUAAUUUAACGACUUGAUUAGUAGGGCCCACUUCAUCGGUAAGCUGAGUAAAUUGCGCUAAGUUAUUAAAUUAAAUAUUUAUAAAAAAUAAUUGUACGUUUUAUUAAUUUUCUUUUUUGGGUUACUCUGAAUUUACUGAAUUUUCAAGACGAAUAUUCGGCGCCAGAAAUUUAUCAGACUGCAAACGAAUUGCAAACAAUUUCGUCCAAAUAAACUUGAAAAGAAAUUAUCGAAGCAAAGUUGCACGAGAAACCCAAAGAGCAGCAUAAUGCCAAUUGAAAAAAAAAGCCGCGAGCAGCAGCAGGAACAACGAAAAGUGAACAAAAAUAACAAGAACUGCGAUUGUAAUUUCGAAAGAAAAAUGUGCCAGAGUUAAUGGGGAAAUUGGAGGAGCACGAAAGGCAA